CCGCCGCUCGGCUCUGGGUGCGACGGAGCGCCUUCAUAUACGCGCUCGGGGUGUGGACGGUGUUCAGCUACUACCUCAGCCGGUACCUGUUCCGCGAGCAGACUGACACGAAGGACCCGAAUCCGCAGCCGCAGGACUGGCAGGGCAAAGAAAACAACCUUCCUACAAUUGCUUCAGAAGAUACCAUGACAGACAGGGCGAUAUAUUUCUCACCUGGACAAAGGAUAUGUAUUUCAAGCCAGACCACUUAUAAAAAAAACUUUGUACCAUACACAACUCGUUUGCAGAAUUUUCUAUCAUUUUCUAAUGAGUCUGAUAACAAAGGAAAAUAAGUUAAUCUGGGAACAGAAACCCCAAGCUGCUUAAAAGGGUGUCUUGUACUGAAGAAUGGAACCUUCUCUAGUUCAUUGCACAAGAUCUGGAUCUAAAAUAAUGGAAACUGGGAAGUACUGUGCAGUCAAUGGUUGCUCUUUAAAAAAAUCACUGGGUGUCCUAGAUUGCUUCAUGGAUUCCAGUGUGACAUCUAUUAAAGUUUGAGUUCUUUCAGA